UAUCACAUGAUAAAUGGGCCCACCCCCAGCUGUGAUGGAUGUGACUAGUUCCCCUUUCUUUCCUCUUCUCUGAGCUGGGCCUGGCUAAUCAGGUGAUUAAGAGCCAGGUUGCAGAGGCUGGGGGUGUGAAGAGCAGGUGGAACAGCAGCUGGUGUGCAGUAUAACUUGUUAACUCGAGGGCUGGCUGAUUCUGCUGCAAUUGCACCUCUCCUUCCAGCCACAAAAUUUUAUGAAAUGCCUCAUGGACAAAAUGUGGUGUUAAGGACAGAAAUCAACAAGCUGGGGGGGCGGGGGGGGGGGGGGGAAGUGAACUGAAAAUGGAAGAAGUGGGGAAGUCAGUCAUUGUGCAAUGGUAUUUUGGCUGAUGGAAGAGAAGGCCCCUCCUGGAAUUUACCAAAAGGACAGCACUUAAAAAAAAAAAAAAGAAAAAAAAAAAAAAGAAACCAAAAAGCCACUUUCUGCUUCACCCAUAGAGGCAGAGCGGGAGGAAUGAGGACUGGCAUGACUGGCCUUUUCAUGCUGGGGAGAGGUUCUGCUGCUGCAUGCCAUGUGAGACUGUAUGAGCGCAGACACAUUCUGGGAAUCGCAUCCUUUGCCUGUCAUUAACUGACUGCAAUUCAGGAAUUAAAGGUGCUGGUGACACAGCUCUAAAGCUGAUGUGGCACGGUGCAGAGGCAUGUAUGUGGACGCAGGCAACUUCUUCGAACGAGGCGCAGCUUCUUCCCAGGGCUUAGGCCCCCAAUCUGACCUUUUGGUACACAACUUGGCUUUUACUGUGAGCACAAGCUACUACUGAGACACCUCUUGGAGCUGAAGUCCAGGAACCACCUGGGUUUGCAAGGAGAGGGGCAGCACGAGAACGUUUUCUGUCCGUGUGGUGCUGACAACUGUGAUGGCUUUUUUACCCUUCUGGCUAACGAGUGCUGCCUCUCGCGAAGCAUCACCUCACCGUUUACCUCAUCAGAACAUUGGGUAAAAAAUAAUGAAAUAAAAAAGGAGCAGCUGCUUCAGUUUAAAAGGUGAGUUUGUGGGCAGGUGAGGAAAGAGAAAGCAGUGUUCAGCUCCGGGUGUCGGGCUUCUCCCCUGGCCACUCAGUCGAGUGCCCUUUCCCUAGGCAGGGGUGAAGCUAAGGUAGGAGCUGCUGAGGGGUCCGUUUUCAGGGAGUUAGCAUUUAUUUAUUUACUUGCAAGAGAGAAUGGUAAUUGGGGGUACCUUGGUGGGGUAAUAGUUCACAAAGAAUUAUGACUUUUUUUUGUCUUCUGACCCUGGCUGCUGUGCAGGAGAGUGAAAAAAUGGGAUAUAAAAAGAGCAGCCCGAGCGUGUGGUGUGUGGCAAAGGCACAUGGAAGCUUCAAGCACUCACUAGGAGCGGACCCCAGGGACACCCCCUUCCUUUUGGCACCUUAUUUCAUGUAAGAGAGCAGGCUGAUCUGCUCAACAGCUGCCAGGCUGAGUGGUUGCUGUUGUCCUGAUGCAGCACCUCAGUGACAUUUACCGAAACCAGCCACUGCUUUCCAGGCAGCUGCAGCUGCCUUGGGAGCUCAAGCAUUUUGGAAAGAGCACCACACACAUCAGAUAAAAUCCCUUCUCAGCCUCCUGGCUCUCAUGUAAAGUGAAGCGCCUGCACAAAGGUGAUGGCCAAGAGCUCAGGAAAUGCUCCAAACACUUCUUGGACUGAGUAUUCACCAAAUUUGUGAAGAACUCAGAGUAAAGGUGCCAGCAUUAGCUCUUACCAGACUUGGCCUCCUUCAUCCAUGCCUGAUUCUCCAUCUUGGACCUUGAAACAGCCAUGCCACUGUUUCCUGAGGAAGCACAGCAGAAUCAGCAUGUCCUCUGCCAGCGCCUGGAAAGCAAUGUUUCUGCCAGCUAAACAGAGGAACUGUACUCUGGUAAACGUGUGCAUCAGGCUGGUUGUAUUAAUCACAAUGCUUUUAGUAUGUGGUAACCAUAAAGUGAUCUGUGUUUUGCAAUUUUCUCCUUUAGUUUGGCCUCACAGCCAUGGUUAUCUGCUAGCUAGCUUGCUAGGCCAAGGUCCAGGGCAUCCAAAGAAGUGCCUGGUGGCCAAGCCACUUCCAGACUGGCCCUCUGAUGAGGGCAGCAGAGCUGAGGGACUGCAGACCCUGCUUGCUGGAGACUUUAAACACACAGUGGCUUCCAGAGCAGAAAUGACAAGUUGCCAUGCUACAAAGGCUUACACCAUUGAAGAGCUGCUCCUGUGUUGAACAAAACAGGAAGGAGUCCUAAAACCUAGGAACUAACCACAAGGAUCUAGUUCAUUGAAGUCUGACCUGGUAACCUUCUAAACGGCCAUUUGAUCCCAUCCAUCAAAUUCAGUCCAUUUGUAUAGGAUGAAAGAAAAUAAGUUCUCUUGAACACAGAAGUCUGGGAACAUAAACAGCUGAGGCUGCUGACUUAAACAGUUUAACCCCAGCUGCUGAUGGUCUUACGUCCUGUCUGCUACAGCUUGGAAGUCACAAUGGGAAGUCUGACAAGUGCUGGCUGCUAAAGAGAUUCCUUCUUACCCAUAACCAGCCAAGAAUCCGAGGCUUGGUGGACUGACUUUAUCACUGAAUAUGAAGAGUUCAAGACUCUCUUCAGAUGUUUUGUAUCUUUUUCCAAGCUGAUUCAAAACCCACCACUCACG